rnacentral:lncRNA from 1 species
GUUUGGUCGAACAGAACAAGGGCGACCAGGAGGUUCUCCAUCAAACCCUAUCACAUACAAAAUUCACAAAAUGAAGGUUUAAAUCAAGUCCAAAUCAAAAUCUGAAUAUAGAUUAGUGAUCACCUCGACGAAGGGAUCAUAAGAAAAGUAUGGAACACUAGGAUUAUGAUGCAAGGAGUCCGGAUCGUCUAGCGGAUAAGCCGGAGGGGAUUUGCGUUUAAAGGGCGUGCUCUAAAGGUGUGUUUAAACUUCGUACGGAUGGAAAUCAAGCGUAAAUCAAGAACCGAACACACACGACUUUUGAAGCUUCCGCGUCUAUUUAAUCUUCGUUUAAGUCUAUGUUAGUGUCGUAAACAAUUAACAUGUUACAUUAGGAUGUUAUAACUAGAUGGGUGUUAUUUGAACAAGAAUGUUAAGUAAACCUUUGUUCCAUUUGGUAUAACUUAAUGA